CUGUGAUCUGAAUCACUGCAAAUAGGUUUGCCAUUACAAUUGCCCAUGCUGGAGCAGUCAGGGAGGACAGGAUGUAUGGCUGGACUUCAGAUCCGAAAGACCAAUAGCCGCUGAACGCCAGUGUCCAGUAGGACAUGACGAUUAACAGAAGAAUUGCUGGUGUACUAACAAGUCAAUAUGAAACGUCUGACGAUGGAAACCUGAAUUUCUGGCAGCAUCGCAUCACCAAAUGAGAACGCUAUUGUGCCCAGUGCAUUGAAACCUCUGAAGAUCUUAGUUGCGGUGGUUCCUUGCAGGCUGUAGCCAACUUCCUUCCGGUCAAUCCGAUGUCCUGCAGAAGAACAUGAUUUCCAUAUCCUCAGGAAUUUCAGUACUUGAUGCAAAAUUAUUAUUUGCUGAUUUUUUACCAUCAUAUAGUGUGACGCUAAUGGCUGUCACGGCAAAUCCAAUGGUGCUAGCGGUGCAGGUGGCAUUCACCCACCGCAGCGAAUGUAUGUCAGGAAGCUGGGAGAGGAACAUCUCGAAUGCGCCAAACAGAAGGAUGAAGUGUUGCAGCGUGACCGCGGCGCCAUCGUCGGCGGCGUAGUAGUGCCUGUAGACAGCCUUGAGGCUGCUGCCAGCAGCAAUCUGGAUUGCGACGUUGUUGCCAAUUGACGCCACUUGCUGGAAGAAUGACACGUACCAGUAGCCCCAGGGACCUUCAACAAAGUGCAGCUUCUUGUCAUCACUCAAGGCAAUGGAAGAAGGAGGGAGAACUAUCUGAUGGGAGAAAAACUGUACCCACCAAAGAUGCUCUUUGCAAGAAGCCGGUAGCUGGUGUGCUUCUCUCCGUUCCACUGCCACAGCGAGGCAACAACCAAGCUAGAACACCAGAAGAGGGAGCAAGUAGCGGAAGCUGAUUCUUAGAGCCCAAGCAACUACAGAACGAUGGAUCACAUGCUUGGGCCAACAAGGCUCAUCAAUGUGCUUGCUUACAUGGGCCGAGACAGAGGAGAGACGGCCCCACGUGCCCAUGAAAGUGGUUGCCCCACUGGAACGCGUGGUCCCUAUCCUGUAAUACAACUUAUCCGACACGGUUGUUGACUGUUGACUAUUUGUGAUUAGGUUGCCAAUCUGAAAUAGUUUAGCAUUGAUUUUUUUUUUCUGCAUGCGUGUUUUCUCCGAGGGAAAAUUAGCAACGUUUGUCAAAACAAUCUCUGAUCGAUGAAGUGAAGAUGAGUCUGGAACUCUGGAUGUGCUUUGCUCUGAUCCUGGUUUGCACAAGGAGAUAGCUGACAUGUUAUCAAUCUUCUGCUUU